UGCCGAUGAGUCUCUAUCCAA
rnacentral:piRNA from 1 species